AUUUUCUUUUCACAAUGCCCCUGUUGAAGUACGUAGGGCAUUUUAGAUUUUCACUAUAAAACCUCCAUGAUGCUGUGCUGAACCGAAGCCCUAGCUCCCAAAAAACCCUAGAAGCGAGCUCCAGGAGGGGCUUCUCAGGUCUAGCUUAGUUGUGCGAAGAUGAAGACGUUUGGUGGAUAGUCCUGUUGUGCUCUGCAAAGAUGAAGCUGUCACGGUUAUCAGUCGUGAGAUUGUACAUCGUUGGUCUAGCGUGCAACGGUGGCUAUGUGCAAUGUCGGUGGAGGAGUGCAGACGUAGAAUGUGAAUGAAGGGUGGCUCUCAAGCAUGGACACCCACAAGGAGUAACUUAGAUGUUGGAGAGCAAUCUUUUAUAUGGUUGAAGUCCUAAAGAGAAAAAAAGUAGACAGGUACUACAUCAAUAUCCUGUUGGUGCCAAUAAAUCAAUAGCCAUGUGACUUAUAUUAUGAACCUCUUUCCUUCUUAAAAUUUUAAUACUUAAUAUUUUCUCUUUUUUAUGUUUUGUUAUCAAAGAAAAUAAGAACGAAAACAAAAAAAAAUAUCAUGUCAGUAAAUAAAAAUAUGAUUAUUACGAAUCAUUUAUAUUUGAU